CUGGCAUGUACUAGAGGCUAAAAAUAUUCUAGAUACGAACAAAUACAUUAGUGAGAAGAUGGGGAGGGCUGAAUGGGCAUGAAGAAAGCUUACCCAGGGCAGUUACUGGGUAAGCUGAAGUGGGUUCCUGCUAGCUGAAGCUGGAGAGAAGCCCCAUUUCAUAGGGAGCUGCAGAGAGGGACCACGCUGCAUCUGCAAUCAGGUAUAUUUUAUUUGUAUUGAUACCCUGGGAAUACCGAAAGACAAAGUGAGAUGCUGCAGCUGAAGGAUUAUCAUAAUCUGAGCUGCUUCCCUCCCUCUGCCACACUCUCCUGCCAUGAUG